CCCUACGGGGCGCAGCAGGCGCGAAAACUUUACAAUGCCGGCAACGGCGAUAAGGGAACCUCGAGUGCCAGGUUACAAAUCUGGCUGUCGUGAUGCCUAAAAAGCAUUGCAUAGCAAGGGCCGGGCAAGACCGGUGCCAGCCGCCGCGGUAACACCGGCGGCUCGAGUGGUAACCGUUAUUAUUGGGUCUAAAGGGUCUGUAGCCGGCCGGAUAAGUCUCUUGGGAAAUCUGGCAGCUUAACUGUCAGGCUUUCAGGAGAUACUGUCUGGCUCGAGGCCGGGAGAGGUGAGAGGUACUCCAGGGGUAGGGGUGAAAUCCUGUAAUCC
rnacentral:rRNA from 1 species